GAUGAACGCUGGCGGCGUGCUUAAUACAUGCAAGUCGAACGGAGGUAUGUAGCAAUACGUAUCUUAGUGGCGAACGGGUGAGUAACGCGUUGGUGACCUACCCCAGAGAGGGGGAUAACAGUUCGAAAGGACUGCUAAUACCCCAUGCCGUCAUGGAGCUUAGAAAUCCAUGUCGAAAGGUGCAAACCGCUCUGGGAGGGGCCUGCGUCCCAUCAGCUAGUUGGUAGGGUAAUGGCCUACCAAGGCGACGACGGGUAGGGGGCCUGAGAGGGUGACCCCCCACACUGGCACUGAAACACGGGCCAGACACCUACGGGUGGCAGCAGUAGGGAAUAUUGCACAAUGGGCGAAAGCCUGAUGCAGCAACGCCGCGUGCGCGAUGAAGGCCUUCGGGUCGUAAAGCGCUUUUCGAGGAGAUGAGGAAGGACAGUAUCCUCGGAAUAAGGAUCGGCUAACUACGUGCCAGCAGCCGCCGUAAUAC
rnacentral:rRNA from 1 species